GCCUGGAUAGCUCAGUGGUUAGAGCAUCUGACGAGCACCUGACUAAUAAUGCAGGAGUCCUGGGUUCAAAUCCCGGUCCAGCCA